rnacentral:rRNA from 1 species
UACGUGAGGGUGCAAGCGUUGUCCGGAAUUAUUGGGCGUAAAGAGCUCGUAGGCGGUCUGUCACGUCGGCUGUGAAAACCCGAGGCUCAACCUCGGGCCUGCAGUCGAUACGGGCAGACUAGAGUUCGGUAGGGGAGACUGGAAUUCCUGGUGUAGCAGUGAAAUGUGCAGAUAUCAGGAGGAACACCGGUGGCGAAGGCGGGUCUCUGGGCCGAAACUGACGCUGAGGAGCGAAAGCGUGGGGAGCGAACAGG